CGAUUUGAACCCUUUUUAAUUCUUUUAUGUUUUCUUGUAUUACUACUUUGUUGUAUCAUUUGAGGCUAAGGUUUUUAACAAUUCCUCUUAUGCUUAUACGCUAAUUCUUUAUUAUUAGGUUUACCUACUCUUAAUUUUUUUAUUCGAUGUAUCGAUUAAUAUUUGUUUGUAAGAGGAAAGGCAACAAUUUAGAGUCUCUGAUUCACUUAUUUGAUAGUGAUUUCAGUGCUGUACGUUGCCGAUAAGGAUCUGGACCUGAGAUUCUGGCAUUAGUCUACUUAGCCUAAUGCAUUCAGAUGUUCCUAUAUUUUUUAAAAAUUAAUGUAAUUCAAAUUGUUUAAUCCUUGUCUUUACGGGCUGUGACGAGUCAUAGAGAUAGUCAUGCACCACUCUGAUUUUCAAUGCUGAUAAUUUUCUCAUACCCAUUUAUCUGAGCCC